CCUACUAGUUCAGUGGCCCCUGAGUGCAUCCGUCCUUGUGUACCCUCUGCCUGCAUGUGUUGCACCAUACCCUCACUGCCAUCGUAGGGCAAUUGGGCAGCCAGCUGAGAAUUCUGUUCGAGACCUUUGAAGCGUGACAUAGCCAAACCAACAAAAAGUUUAUCUUGCAAGAGCUAGUUGCCCGUAUCACGUGUGGCACAAAAGGCCUCCAUCAUUGUUCAGGGGGGCUGGUGAGGCCUGAGACAAUUAGAAAAGGUGCAUCCAUCCAGUCCAGCCAGGGGGCAGCUGUGAGAAUACCUGCUUCGUGUUGUAGUUGUUGUUGUUUGUUUGUUUGUUUUUUUAAAUUGAACCAGAGGCUGGGGAGGGAGGUGGUGCACAUUUUUAUCCCAGCACUCUGGAGGCAGAGGCAGGUGGAUCUCUGUGAGUUCGAGGCCAGCCUGGUCUACAAAGCAAGUUCCAGGACAGGCUCCAAAGCUACAGAGAAACCUUGUCUCAAAAAAUGAAAAACAAAACAAGAAUUGAACCAGCAAUGCAUCAGGAAAUUAAGAUUUACCUGCCAACCGGCAGGUGUUUGUUACCAGCCUGUGGUGGCUGCUCAGGGUGAAGAAAUGACACACCAGAGAGAAUGGAAGCAGUCAGGUCUUGCGGUUUACCCUCUAGAAGUUCAAGAACUUUUUGGUAUUGAUUUUUAUUCACUGUUAAGGAGUUUCUGAGAUUUUUUUUCAGGGGCCAUUUGCAUUUGUCCUCCAAGCUAUAAACAGUUUAAGGUCAGAGUUCACUUUAUAUCUUGGAUGAUGUCUUCACCAUGCCUUGUACUCAGAUGAGAAAAGAGGCAAAGGCCUUUACUGUCUGUAGGGUUGUAGGUGGCGCUGCACAUAUCCGGUCUCCAUUUCAGCUCAGGAGGCUGAGUCAGCUGGAAGAUGUGUUUAGCAAGGUCCUGUUUGCAAAGAAAAGAACGUGCAUGUUUCAGCCUUGGUUGGGCCUCCUGAAUCUGCCAGAACAGUAGAAUGUCUGUCUUCAGACUUGAGAGGCUGGCCCCUGAGCGUGUUUAUAUUGAUGGGGCUUGUUUUAACAGAUUCUGAAAAGGGAAACUUUGUCAAGCACCUCGUGGCUCAGAAGGCUGAGACAGGAGGAUCAAAUUUGAGGUCAGCCUUGGCUAUAUAGUGAGACCUACUUUCAAAAGAAAAAGAAAGUACAAGCUGAGGCCAUGAUUAAUCCCAGCACUUGGGAGCCUGAGGCAAACAGAUCUCUGAGUUCAAGUCCAGCCUGGUCUCCGCCCAGCCAAGGCUAACUAACAAGGCGUUGUCUCAGUAAAAAGAGAAAAAACAUGCCACCGUGCACAUGCCUGGUCGUUGGACAUUGAAGGACUUCAUGGAUGGCUUGUAUUUGGAUCCCAGUUUGGCUUCACUCCUGUGCUGCCUCUACCCAGACUGUCACAGAUGGCAGUUUCUGCAGCAGGGGCCUUCUGCCAGAGCCUUGGGGUGCUCUGCCAGUUAACGUAGCCUCCAGCCUUCUUUCCUACCUCCGCAGAGGUGGAGCCGAAGGGUGCACAUUUUGAAUCAGAGUUGGUGUUCCCAGCAUCCAGUCCCUAUCAUGAAUUCACCCAGAGCCCAUGAGUUAUCUUAAUAGACUAAACAGCAUUGCUUUCGUGCUAAAAAUUCCAGGGGGUAUGGAAUGUGUGCCAGGAACAAGAAGAGACCCAGGUGAUGCUCCAGUGUCCCGUAUCACUAGGGAACUACACUAGUUUCAGCUCGACAGGGAGCUAAGGAUGAAGGCUAAAUCCACGUUCCUUCUGUCCUAGUGUCAGAAAAACGGAAGCAGCAUUGCCAUGCAGGCUCUCAUGCUGCAGGAGCGACGCUCUCAAAGAGGAAGCACGUAGAUUGCUAGCUCCAUCUGCUGGACCGUGUGUCUUCUGUAGCCAGAGGAGUGAUCUGAUCCAAUAACUGUUUAAGAGGCUUUGGUCACCUACUUAGGAACAGGUUCCCAUCCCAAACCUUAAGUAUGUGCCAACAUAUGUAAAUUUAACUAGCACUUUAAAAUAAAGAUAUGCUGUAAAAGGUAGAAAAGACUUAUGAAAAUGAGAGCUGCUUACAUCAAUAGGCCAAACCAAAAAAUAACAAAAAAACAAAUUCAGCCUACUUCAUGAGUCCCUUUCCUCUUUUGAAAUGGGGCUUAAAUAAAUACCAAACAAGAUUUCAGAGAGUCUAUUUAUAAAACUUUUGAGGUGCUGGGUGGUGGUGACACACACCAUUAAUCUCAGCACUCGGAAAGCAGAGACAGGUGAAUCUCUGAGUUCAAGGCCAGGCUGGUCUACAGAUCUAGUUCUAGAACAGCCAGAGCUACACAGAGAAACCCUGUCACCAAAAACAAAACAAUAGAAAAAGAAAAAACAGCUUGUGAGGCAUUUAUUAAUAGAAGCAUUCCGCGGCUGCACAUGCAGGAGUACAGGGAAGUCGUUAACCUGAGUUAACUCUCCGGAGAGAUGCUCUCCAGCAUGGGAGAGGACAGCUUCCAGCACAGACUCUGCUAAGUAGAGACCGUGUGUCUGAAGAUGUGUUCUUCAUCUAGACACUGGCCCGCUUUCUCCUGAGCGAGGUAGCCACAGGCCCACCCUCUUCCUGCAUUUUCUCCUCUUAGGCCAGUCUCCGCUUUCUGCAUCUGCUCUUCCCACGGCAGCUCAAACCGUGCUGUCCCAGAAGUCAGUCAGACACCCACCCUGCUGCCCUGAUUCUUCCCCAGAAACUUCAGAAAACACUCCGGGUCUCACUGAGAGGAGCCUGCCCGCUGUGUCCUGAAAGAACUCCUUUCAACCAUCUUAACCUCUGCUCGCAUCACCCCGGACUCUUGGGAGCCCCUCAUAUCCAGAAGCACACGCCUGCCUGCUACCUGCUGCAAACUGCCACCCCCACCUCUGGCUCCCUUGACCCAUGGAUGUUAUAAAAAGCAUAUCAUGCUUUCUCGAAUGUGACUGUGAAAUCUAGCUUACCAGCUGUCUGCAAAGGGAAGGCCACUUGGUUGUUCCCGGUCACUUGGCUUGCUUAGCCCUGAAAUAACCACAGAGAAACUGUAUUAAUUAAACCACUGCUUGGCUCAUUAGCUCUAGCUUCUUAUUGGCUAACUCCUACGUCUUAAUUUAUCCCAUUUCUAGUAAUCUGUGUAUCGCCACCUGGUUGUGGCCUACCAGCUAAAGUUCCCAGUGUCUAUAUCAGGCAGCGGAUCCAUGCCAUCUACCUGAGUCCACCCUUCUUUUUCCCAGCAUUCAGUUUAGUUUCCCCUGCCUACCUAAGUUCUGCCCUAUCAACAGGCCAAGGCAGUUCCUUUAUUCAUUAACCAAUAAAAGCAACACAUAGACAGAAGGGCCUCCCACAUCAAGGAGGGUGCUGUUUAUCUCCACAUUCUUCACUAGUUGCAGCUUAUCUGACUUGGUUUCUUCUGGAGUUAGACAGUUGUGAGUGCCGUGCGGGUGCUAGGAAUCAAACCCAGGUCCUCUGGAAGAGUAGCCACUGCUUGCUAUUAACUGCUGAUCCAUCACUAGUCCCUGGCUCAGUGGGCUAUACACUUCGAUUGGGGCUAUACUACACUACACUUCUGAGCAGGUGUUUCCUUGACUUGCCAUUCCAUCUUAGUGUGGAUGUUGACGCCAUCCUCCACUGGUUCUGCUGCUGCCUAUGAAGCAGGACAGAAUGUAUGAUGAAUUCAGGAAGAGGGAAGGUUAGCUGAAUCCGUUUUUUGAGAAGUUGAGAGUUAGUCUAGAGUGGGAAGGAUGAAGUUCUUACAGUGCCCCACCAAGGUUCACGCUGAGAACACCAAAGCAUGGGGAGAGCCUGGCAUGGACAAGUAGACAGCAACAAGUCGUUCUAGUAGACUGUGAACAGGUCUGAGCACUUUAUCAGCAGCCCUAGAAAGCAAGCAUUUUAUUAAUGCAGUGCACUUUCCCCAAAAUUCUAUAUCUGAAAUCUUUGUGACAGUUUUGAAGCUGUUGGUUUUCAGACUUUGGGCCGUAUUUCUAAUAAAAAGAAUAUUUACAUAUA